AGCGAACGCUGGCGGCAGGCCUAACACAUGCAAGUCGAACGAACCUUUCGGGGUUAGUGGCGGACGGGUGAGUAACACGUGGGAACGUGCCUUUAGGUUCGGAAUAACUCAGGGAAACUUGUGCUAAUACCGAAUGUGCCCUUCGGGGGAAAGAUUUAUCGCCUUUAGAGCGGCCCGCGUCUGAUUAGCUAGUUGGUUGAGGUAAUGGCUCACCAAGGCGACGAUCAGUAGCUGGUCUGAGAGGAUGAUCAGCCACAUUGGGACUGAGACACGGCCCAAACUCCUAUGGGAGGCAGCAGUGGGGAAUCUUGCGCAAUGGGCGAAAGCCUGACGCAGCCAUGCCGCGUGAAUGAUGAAGGUCUUAGGAUUGUAAAAUUCUUUCACCGGGGACGAUAAUGACGGUACCCGGAGAAGAAGCCCCGGCUAACUUCGUG
rnacentral:rRNA from 1 species